GACAGAGGUGCCAAGCGUUAGGCGGAAUCACUGGGCUUAAAGCGUGUGUAGGCGGAUUUGUAAGUACCUUGUGAAAUCCCACGGCUCAACCGUGGAACUGCCUCGGAUACUGGCGGCCUCGAGGGAGGUAGGGGCGUGCGGAACUGUGGGUGGAGCGGUGAAAUGCGUUGAUAUCCACAGGAACUCCGGUGGCGAAGGCGGCACGCUGGACCUUUUCUGACGCUGAGGCGCGAAAGCCAGGGGAGCAAACGGG
rnacentral:rRNA from 1 species